rnacentral:rRNA from 1 species
UACGUAGGCAGCAAGCGUUGUUCGGAGUUACUGGGCGUAAAGGGUGCGUAGGCGGCUUUUAAGUUUGGUGUGAAAUCUCCCGGCUCAACUGGGAGGGUGCGCCGAAUACUGAGUGGCUAGAGUGCGGGAGAGGAAAGUGGAAUUCCUGGUGUAGCGGUGAAAUGCGUAGAUAUCAGGAGGAACACCGGUGGUGUAAACGGCUUUCUGGACCGUAACUGACGCUGAGGCACGAAAGCGUGGGUAGCAAACAGG